rnacentral:lncRNA from 1 species
GGAGUCUAAAAAUGAAACAAAACAGAAUAUAUGGGAAAUUCCUACACAGAAGUUACUCUUGCACAUAGAUGUGUAGAAAACUAGGUCAGGCAUCCAUUUUCCCUUCUCCUCUUUGGUCAAAUGCAUUGGUCUUGUUUUUAACCCAAGCCUAUUCACCCAUUGCAAUACAGGUUUCCCACCACUAUCCAAAAGUUCACUUUACUGCCGUUUCCCUUUCGUGAAAGACCUACAUCAGUACCUGUUUUCCCCAACUGAACAAAAUCCCAAGAGGAUUUUCACUUUUAUGAGAAAAAGGCAAAAAGCAAAAGUAGCAUUUGGCGUUUGUUUUGCAGCCAGCCAUUAUGGAGGCUAAGCAGUCAAGCAUGCUGUCAUAUCUCAAGCCUCCCACAUCAGCCACAUCAGCCACAGCAGACGACAAACCUCGACCUUGCACACUGACGCAGCAGACAGAGAAGAAGGUGUAGACAUUAGUGACCUGCCUGCCCUGGUGGAUUCAGAUGACGAUGAGAUGUUGACAGAUGACCCUCUUCCUCUCUCUCCUGCACCCCAGUCCCCUGUACCUCCCACCACCCCAACCUCCAGUGACUCAGCCUGCCACCCCAUCCUCACCACCACCACCUUUCGGCCUUCCAAUGUGCUCGCUGUCUUCCUGGUUCUGUAUAUGGGAAGAAAACUCUAGAAACUGAGUUGAGCAUUGCUGUCUGCAGAGACUGAAGCUGAGGGAAAGCUGCCAGACCUUGCC